GACGAACGCUGGCGGCGUGCUUAACACAUGCAAGUCGAACGGUGAAGCUCCAGCUUGCUGGAGUGGAUCAGUGGCGAACGGGUGAGUAACACGUGAGCAACCUGCCCCUGACUCUGGAAUAAGCGCUGGAAACGGCGUCUAAUACUGGAUACGAGAAGGGCCCGCAUGGGCACUUUCUGGAAAGUCUUUCGGUUGGGGAUGGGCUCGCGGCCUAUCAGCUUGUUGGUGAGGUAAUGGCUCACCAAGGCGACGACGGGUAGCCGGCCUGAGAGGGCGACCGGCCACACUGGGACUGAGACACGGCCCAGACUCCUACGGGAGGCAGCAGUGGGGAAUAUUGCACAAUGGGCGAAAGCCUGAUGCAGCGACGCCGCGUGAGGGAUGACGGCCUUCGGGUUGUAAACCUCUUUCAGCAGGGAAGAAGCGAAAGUGACGGUACCUGCAGAAGAAGCACCGGCUAACUACGUG
rnacentral:rRNA from 1 species